rnacentral:tRNA from 1 species
GCUCAAAUAGCUUAAUUGGUAGAGCAAAACACUGAAAAUGUUUGAGUUAUUGGUUCAAAUCCAGUUUUGGGCA